rnacentral:rRNA from 1 species
UACGUAGGGUGCGAGCGUUGCCCGGAUUUAUUGGGCGUAAAGGGCGCGUAGGCGGCUCGGCACGUCCGUUGUGAAAUCGCCCGGCUCAACUGGGCGGGGUCAGCGGAUACGGUCGAGCUUGAGCAAGCUAGGGGGCAAUGGAAUUCCCGGUGUAGUGGUGAAAUUCGUAGAUAUUCGGAAGAACACCAGUGGCGAAGGCGGCUCACUGGUCCGGUACUGACGCUGAGGUGCGAAAGCGUGGGGAGCAAACAGG